rnacentral:rRNA from 1 species
GACGAACGCUGGCGGCGUGCCUAACACAUGCAAGUCGAACGUGAAGCCGGUGCUUGCACCGGUGGAAAGUGGCGAACGGGUGAGUAACACGUGAGAAACCUGCCCCGGAGACCGGGACAACCAUUGGAAACGAUGGCUAAUACCGGAUACCCCCGGUUGGUCGCAUGACCAGCCGAGGAAAGGCUCUGGCGCUCUGGGAGGGUCUCGCGGCCUAUCAGUUAGUUGGUGGGUAACGGCCUACCAAGACAUCGACGGGUAGCUGGUCUGAGAGGACGAUCAGCCACAUUGGGACUGAGACACGGCCCAGACUCCUACGGGAGGCAGCAGUGGGGAAUAUUGCGCAAUGGGCGAAAGCCUGACGCAGCAACGCCGCGUGAGGGAUGACGGCUUUCGGGUUGUAAACCUCUUUCAGUGAUGACGAAAAUGACGGUAGUCACAGAAGAAGGUCCGGCCAACUACGUG